rnacentral:rRNA from 1 species
AUACGUAGGGUGCAAGCGUUAAUCGGAAUUACUGGGCGUAAAGCGUGCGCAGGCGGUUUUGUAAGACAGAGGUGAAAUCCCCGGGCUCAACCUGGGAACUGCCAUUGUGACUGCAAGGCUGGAGUGCGGCAGAGGGGGAUGGAAUUCCGCGUGUAGCAGUGAAAUGCGUAGAUAUGCGGAGGAACACCGAUGGCGAAGGCAAUCCCCUGGGCCUGCACUGACGCUCAUGCACGAAAGCGGGGGGAGCAAACAGGAUUAGAUACCCUGGUAGUCCACGCCCUAAACGAUGUCAACUGGUUGUUGGGGAUUUAUUUUCUCAGUAACGAAGCUAACGCGUGAAGUUGACCGCCUGGGGAGUACGGCCGCAAGGUUAAAACUCAAAUGAAUUGACGGGG